GGCAGUUCUUGGGUGACACACCCCAGAAUUGGGCUCCCUCCUCUCUGGUUCCAGAUGUGUCACCCAAGAACUGCA
rfam:Myotis lucifugus cont2.54396, whole genome shotgun sequence.